GUUAUGUAUUAUUCUAGCCUCCUUCACCUUUCUUCCUCUUCUUUUUUUGUUGAACAGACUUUCAUUUCUUCCACGACAACAUGAUGUGCUCAUCACGUGAACAUCUCUGCUGUUUGGACUCUCAUUCUGACGGCACCCAUUCACUGCAGAGCAUCCAUUGCUGAGACACUGAUGCAAUGCUACAUUUCUACAAACCUGAUGAACAAACAAACUCAUCCUGAUCUGGGAUGACCUGAGGGUAUGAAUGAAGAGCCAUCGUCAGGUUAUUCCCCGCAUGGCCUCCCCGAGGCCCAGACUCAACCUUCAGCCGCAGGCAGACUGGAGCUUCAGAGAGCGAGUAUAGGCCAGAGAGAAGACCACAGAGCUUCCUUCAUUCAGCGACGCGUCGCCAGCUCAGAGAGACAAACAAGUGAUUGAUAAACAGAGCCG
ensembl:lncRNA